rnacentral:rRNA from 1 species
AGUGAACGCUGGCGGUAGGCCUAACACAUGCAAGUCGAACGGCAGCACAGUAAGAGCUUGCUCUUACGGGUGGCGAGUGGCGGACGGGUGAGGAAUACAUCGGAAUCUACUUUUUCGUGGGGGAUAACGUAGGGAAACUUACGCUAAUACCGCAUACGACCUACGGGUGAAAGCAGGGGAUCUUCGGACCUUGCGCGAUUGAAUGAGCCGAUGUCGGAUUAGCUAGUUGGCGGGGUAAAGGCCCACCAAGGCGACGAUCCGUAGCUGGUCUGAGAGGAUGAUCAGCCACACUGGAGCUGAGCCGCGGUCCAGGCUCCUACGGGAGGCAGCAGUGGCGAAUAUUGGACAAUGGGCGCAAGCCUGACCCAGCCAUACCGCGUGGGUGAAGAAGGCCUUCGGGUUGUAAAGCCCUUUUGUUGGGAAAGAAAAGCAGCAGGUUAAUACCCCGCUGUUCUGACGGUACCCAAAGAAGAAGCACCGGCUAACUUCGU